UGGUCAAUAGCCUAACGGCUGAACCAGCAACUUGGAGGAACGAAAAACCGAAGUCACGAUCGGUUGCCAUGUGGAUAUAUGUGGGGCAUUAAGUGCGAAUAGUUCGAAGUAGAUUUUGAUAAUGACAUUCUCUGCUUCCAGGUCUUGACCAACUCAUGUGCCAGCAGUCGCGGUAAGACAUGGAAGGCAAGCGUUAUUCAUCUUUAUUGGGUUUAAAGGGUACCUAGACGGUAAAUGGCAGCCUUUUUUUAAAGAAAUGUGUACUCUGUUUACUAGAGUUUUAUAUAGGGAAUUCAGUACGGUGAGUGUAGGGAUAAAAUCUUUUGAUGCCACUUAGAAACUGGUUUAGGUGAAGACAGGUUCCCAUGUAAAAACUGACGUUGAGGGACGAAGGCUCAAACGAAAGAAACGGGAUUAGUUACCCCAGUACCCAGAGCAGACAAUGAUGAAUGUUAUAUGUAAGAUAAAUUUUUAUGUAUAAAUGAAAGUGCAAGCAUUCCACCUCAAGAGUAAUAUGGCAACAUAUAAAAUGAAAUCAUUAGACCGUUUCUGGAACUCGUAAUGAAGUAUGUUAUUUAAUUUGAUAACCCGCAAAAAACCUUACCACAGUGUGUAUAGUUAUGUACAUAUGUACAUUUCGGACAAGUGUUGCACGGCUGUCUACAGUUGAUAUCGUGAGAUCUGAUUAGCUUCUUAAAUCAACGGAAUCCCUGACUUUAUUUGUAAUAAAGUACUAAUUUCGGUAUAGGAUACCCUACCUGAAUUUAAUAUAUGGGAGCAUGACAAGUCAUCAUGACCAAACAUACAAAUUGAUAGUACUGUGGGCUAUAGACGUGCCACAUUUAACCUUUACAAAAAGAUGCAAAAUCGUGAGAUUAAGCUAAUCUAGAAAAAAGGAUAGAAUAUGGAUUG
rnacentral:rRNA from 1 species